AGCGACAUAAAAGUUUUAAGGAUAUCUUGCAGAUCGGUGGUAGGAGUCACGGCGAUAAUCGAUGAUUACCUGGUAAAUGGUGGAUUACGUUGGAACAAACACUUCUCUCGAAUGCACGUGAAUAUUUUUUUUUUAUUACACAACUUCCCAUCCUGUAUUCGAAUUAAUACGUAGUAAUAAGCGAAGAUACCUGCGUAUGUCAUUCUUCGAUCGAUUCUCAAGACUAAUUCCAGAGCGUCCGCAAUCGUGGCAGGUGGCACAUAAUCGCGGCCUCGUAACCCUCGAAUGAGUUAAUCCAUGAGACGUCGCGCCGUUUCACGCGACGACGACGACGACGACGACGACGAUGGCUGCAACCAGUGUCAUCUCGUCGUCCUUCUCAUCGUUGUAGACGUCGACAAUGUCUACGUGGUUGUCGUCGCCGACGCCGGUGAAAUCGUCGAGCAAGAGAGACGACAUUUAAAAGUAGCUAUAUAGGACUGAUCCGCUUACCAGGUUUAAAAGUCAAGUGCUAAAAGCGCAAUUCAUCCCAUCUAACCGGCCAAGAGUGGGAGAGGAAAUCGGCCGUAGAAGUUUCUAGGAAGACGAUAGAGGAAAGAUAGUUGGUUACUCGGCACGGGUGUCUACGUCCGUCGUUCCGACCAUUUUGCUCAACGAUUCAUUUUAUUUCCAGACGCGAGAGAAGUAUCGUUCGUUUCUCGUAUGAAAGUCUCUACCUUCAUUUUUUCUCUUUUUAGGUCUCUUCUCUCACUCUUUUUCACGCUUUUCCCUUCUCUCUCCCUCUUUGUCUCGCGCGUGUGUUCGUUUCACUGGGCCCGUCUCGCGUUCUCGUUUCUGGUUCCUGAGUUUCUAUUUUUCUGCCUCUUCCAAGAUUGGAGGGUCGACGAAGCGGAAACAAGGGGUGACUGCGUCCUUUCUCUUCUGCAAUGGAAGUUUUUCUUCUUUUUUCCCCUUCUUUCUGUUUGCACGACGCUCGAGUGGCACCGUUUACCAGUGCAGCGUUCGAGGUAUACGUGUGUCCGGAAUAAGUCGAUAAUAAGAGGUAUGUGAAACAUAUCCAAGAUUCCAAAGGGUUUCUCUGCGAUCGGGAUCAGCCCUCUAAUGAAUUCAUCGACAACAGCAUCUAAUGUCUGCCUUCGAAUGACUGAAUUUCGUGCGUGCCUCUUACGACUUUAGGAUCGGAAUGCCAUAAUGGAGGCUGCCUCCGGAAUAUUGGAACAUGACAUCGAUAUCGGAGUACGAAGAAAAGAGGAUCUUUUCGAAGAUUUUCGAAACAAGACUAGCGUAAGUUAUAAUAUAUAAUAAAAUCGAUUCUGUAAUGUGAUAGGAUGCAGAAGAGGAAUAAAGAAGGAAAAUUAGAUGCAUCCUUCGAGGAUGGAAUACAUAAGAAUCACGUGGAGGGAGGAUUGAUGGGGUGUAAUUUACGUAAUGGAAUAGAAAGACGCGAGGUGAACGAGAAGAAUGCAAAAACGCGAUAGACGUUCCAUUUAAAUGGCUUCUUGUUUACCCUCGGUUUUAACCCCUGGCAGCCAACGUGGAUUCGAUUCUCGUUGCCUCGCGACUCGCCAGCCGAUUUAAGCGGUGAAUUUAUCGCGACCACCCGGUCCGCGUAACGAGAGGGUGGAAUGCAUCGGGAUGGCUUCUUGCGGCAUAGUAGGGUUGGAUACGCGGAGUGGAGUUUAAUGAGAUAGUUAUAUAGGUGUUGCGUGUUCUUCGGUUGUUUGAAAAUGUGACUCUGGUUUCAGAAAGUAAUUGAUAUGAAUUUUCCAUAUAUUGCAUCAUUUUUAAAUUAAAAUCUAAUCUAAAUAUAUUUUAAAAUGAAAAUUUUGAUAAUUGAAAUGAAAAAAAUUAUUAGAUGCACACGAAAGAUUGUGUUAUAAAUGAUGUUCAUUUCUUUCUUCUUUUGUGUGUAUGAGUAUUAAAAUAUUUUAUUUUUAUUUUUACUUUAGAUUCGAGGUAAAUUUUUAUUAUUCUUAUGUACAGAAAUAUAAACUCAUAAACAACAAAUGUACUUGUAGUUUACAAAAUUCUUAGAAAUAAAUUUUUGAAGGAACUAAUUGUUAUUUAAAAAGAUACGAAAAAAAAUAUUUACAAAAUGAAUUCAUAAUAUUACAUACGUUAUAUACUCUGAGUUAACCAAUGAAAAUUUAAAACAAUGUAUAUUCAUGAAAGUAUAGAUAUUUAUUAACUUAGUGAAUUGAAUAUAUAUCAUAUAUUAUUGCAUUUCUAAAGAUAUAGAUUCAAUUUUCUCAUAACUGAAUUAUAAUUGUUUAUUUAUUUGAUUAUCUUUUCCGAAGAUAUUCAAAAUGACAUCUUGGCAUCGAUAUGAUUAUUUUUCCAAUACUUUUCGUUCUUUGAAUGUAAAAUAUUUAUUAUAUUUCGAAUUAGAUAAAACACAAAACUUAUAAUUAAACGAUCAAGUAGAAUAUAUUUUAUAUAAAU